rnacentral:rRNA from 1 species
CAGUAGCCGCGGUAAAACGGAGGGUGCAAGCGUUAAUCGGAACUACUGGGCGUAAAGCGCACGCAGGCGGUUUGUUAAGUCAGAUGUGAAAUCCCCGAGCUUAACUUGGGAACUGCAUUUGAAACUGGCAAGCUAGAGUCUUGUAGAGGGGGGUAGAAUUCCAGGUGUAGCGGUGAAAUGCGUAGAGAUCUGGAGGAAUACCGGUGGCGAAGGCGGCCCCCUGGACAAAGACUGACGCUCAGGUGCGAAAGCGUGGGGGGCAAACAGGAUUAGAUACCCCGGUAGUCCCUGUCUCUUAUAC